rnacentral:misc_RNA from 1 species
GUGAAACUUUGGGAGUCCCUCCUCACCGGAGAAGGCCCACUUUUCCACUUAUUCUUUACACUGUGCAUCUGUCACCUUUCACAACCCUACCAUUUUUAACACUUGGUGCCUUUGGAAAAGUGAAAUGGAUUAACAAACGAAAGUUGAUUAUAAUAAGAA